rnacentral:rRNA from 1 species
GAUGAACGCUGGCGGCGUGCCUAAUACAUGCAAGUCGAGCGAACGGACGAGAAGCUUGCUUCUCUGAUGUUAGCGGCGGACGGGUGAGUAACACGUGGAUAACCUACCUAUAAGACUGGGAUAACUUCGGGAAACCGGAGCUAAUACCGGAUAAUAUUUUGAACCGCAUGGUUCAAAAGUGAAAGACGGUCUUGCUGUCACUUAUAGAUGGAUCCGCGCUGCAUUAGCUAGUUGGUAAGGUAACGGCUUACCAAGGCAACGAUGCAUAGCCGACCUGAGAGGGUGAUCGGCCACACUGGAACUGAGACACGGUCCAGACUCCUACGGGAGGCAGCAGUGGGGAAUCUUCGGCAAUGGGCGAAAGCCUGACGGAGCAACGCCGCGUGAGUGAUGAAGGUCUUCGGAUCGUAAAACUCUGUUAUUGGGAAAGAACAGAAGUGGAAGAAACUGUGCAUGUUUUGACGGUACCUAAUGAGAAAGCACCGGCUAACUACGUG